rnacentral:piRNA from 1 species
UAAAGAAAAUUCCUUAGUGUCGCAGUGGCCU